GGCUCUGUGGCGCAAUGGAUAGCGCAUUGGACUUCUAAUUCAAAGCUUGUGGGUUCGAGUCCCACCAGAGUCG
rnacentral:tRNA from 1 species